rnacentral:lncRNA from 1 species
UCUGAGAUGGACACCCACAGUGAGAAGGGUGCCAAUUGUACCCUGCCAAUCUAUGGCUCUGUAGAACUCAAAAGAGGCUGGAGGAGGCAGAAGUGGCACCUCUUUCUGUUUAACGAUUUGUUGCUUGUGUCUAAUAGCAAGUACAUAUACAUGACAUGCUCUCCUGAUUAUCAUAAGAUGCAUUUUUACUAACAAAUUGCAUUUUCAUUAAUCCUUACUAUAUGAAAAUAUAAUUUUUUCUUCUGCUUUUGCAAAUGCCUUGAUCCUUCAUUUACUCAACAGGUAUUCUUGGAGGUCCUGUUGUGUGCAGCACCCCUGUAGAGAAUAUCAUCAAGAAUGUGACAGGCAGGGUCCCUUUUGCCUGGGACUUAAUGACAGAUGAUAAAACUAAGAGAGGGGAAAUUGCAGAUUGUGAAUAGUGAUUCUAAGAAGAAGACAGAUAGGGUACCAUGUGGAGAAGAUGUCACAGGGUAAGAGAGGUGUCAUCCAAGAGGGCCUCUGUGAGGUGAUGACAUUUAAACCUGAGCUCUGGGAUGAGAAGCAGCAGCAUUCCUAGACCAGGUGGCUGAACCUUCUAGGCUGAGGGGACAACAGGCUUAUGCAAAAUCAACCUUUCCCUUGCCGUGAGUAAAAGACCAACUUGCAUCUGCUUGGUAUGCAGUAAAAAAUGGAGCAGAUUGCACAGUGACUGGAGAAAUGAAUGAGAAGUCCAGCUAUGAAAAAAAGUCAGAGACAAAAAUGAAGAUAAUAAAAUAUAUUUUGGAUGAG